rnacentral:lncRNA from 1 species
CACAGUUAAAAUGUCUCAGUGUUUUAAACGAAUUGACCCCCUUCUCAAGAUACUGUGCCUAACAGGAUUUGAUUGUGCUUUCUCGGCCAGAGGAUUUCUGUCAGUACCUCUGCCAAAUGCACGGUCUCGCAGAGGGAGGAUUUGAUAGAGAUCCAGGUUAAGUCAGCCUCUUCAUUCAGAGACAGCGACUGCCAGCCCCACACAGGCUGCAGCCAGGCCACCCAAAUGUCGAGUUUCCACUGAGGAAGGCCAAGUUCCCUAUAUUCCUUUCAAUUUUUGCAACCAUAGCAGGGCUGUGUCCUUGGGUUCUUUCCAUGCCAAAUAAAGCGUCUGCACAUUUUGUCUAGUUCAUUUUUGUACAGCUGAGGCCUUUAUAGCAGAGGCACCUGCAAAAAUAGAAGUUCGAAGAAACAGAUUCAUUUCUGACAGGUUAACCAACCUGAGGAGUAAGAAAUUAUUGUGCUAGAUCUGUAAAUGCAUUUGCAGCUUGCCUUGCAAGGGCAGCUUGUGAAAAUUAAGCUGGCUGGGAAUAUUCUGAGCCCUAGGCAUAGCACACCCUCUGAGACACAGCUAAUAUAAAAUGCUCUGAGGCAGAUCCUGCCAUCCAGCACAGCUGUGUAAAUCUGGAGUAACACAGUGGCUGCUUCAGAGAUGUUACUUUAGAUCCACUUCACCCAACAGAAGAGCAGAAUUCAAAUGAAUUACCCAUGAAGAGAGAAUAAAGAACAUGUGCAGUAAAUAAUGCAUUUCUGGGUUUUCUGCCCUUCAUGACUCUCAUAAAUGUUUCAGCCUCAGUCUGAUUGCUGCUUCACUGUGUCAGCCAAAAAACCAGACUGAGCAAGUGCAUUUCAGUGUCGUUCACAUCUGAGGCUGUUAAUGACUCAGGGAGAGGCAGAAGCACAGACAAAACUCUGAUUUCUAAGAGCAUGACAUUGUCUUCCCCAGAGCCAUAUUUGAAAUGCCUCAAGACACAUUCUAUGACUGCUCUCGGUCAGAUACAGUUCUUGUUUUGUUUAUUUUUUUAUCUCGCAGAACUGAAAAAUCAGUAGGAGAGAGGGGAAGCAAUUUUUUAUUAAUAAAAAUCAGUUUGGUCCCAGAGUGUCAAUUGAAGCAUUUCAGUAUUUAUGAAAUUAUUAAUUUAAUUCUGAAGAAGUCAAUAUGAAGUCUCACACUAUUUCUCACCUUACACUAUCUUGCCACCUGGGCUGGCACUUGACACCAACCUUGAGUAGUUUUGAUUACUCCAGAUUUUUCAGGGGAUGUUAGUGCAUAAUGAAUCUUAGUCUAUAUUUUCUUUUAUUAUUUACGUUACAGUUGAAUUCUUUCUAUUCAUUUAAUUAAUUCAGCAGCUGUUCAGUCUCUAUUACAAUACCCUUCAGAUGUAAGAUACCUGAUUAGAAUUAACCUCUGUCACAAUAAGGUGACCUUGCUUCAUGAGAUCAGGCUGUGAUCCCCACCACUGGAUGUACUUGAACACUCCCCUGCUGUGUUACACAUGUUCUUGAUGUUCCUGAGCAGUUGCCCAACACUAACUCGGGAGCAAAACACCUCGGUGAGAUUUAAGGAGCUGUAUCAAUACUUGGAGCUACAUCCACACCUGAAAUACCCUUUUCAGUAAAUCUGAAACUACUCAGGUUUAUUAGUCUGCUUUCCUACUCAGCUGUCUUAUUUUAAACUUCUCAAAUGUGUUUUAUCAAUAUGGAAUACUGUUUACUUUUUAAUUCUUGCACUUUCCAAAUCUUUACUGUGCAGAUUCUUUCCAGCAUUUCCCCCCAGAUGUAGCAUAUUGUAAUUCAUUGCUCAUGACUGCCAAGAAAUGACAUUUCCAAGACUGUCCAUAGUAAAUGAGAUGAGUCUCUUAAAUAGGGCAGGGACAAAACCUCAGUUACAGAUUUGUGCAUCUCUCUGACAUGUCCAGCCAGAAAAAGAGAAAUCCUGGUCUCAGUAGAACAAAUAACCACCUGCACAUUCUCACUGUCUGAGAUAUACCUCCUCCAUCUUGUCAAUUCUGCUGGUACUUGCUCUCCUGUGUUCUCCAUUAGGACUGUAUUUUUAUUGCCAAAACCAAGAAAAAAAAAAAAAAAAGGAUAUGGCUCUCCUGUGUUCUGGAUGGCUGUACAGUUUUUCCACAUGUAGAGGGUUUAUUAAUUUUGCUAUUUAUUUUGCAGAUACGUUUUAAACAUUUUUAAUAAUAGAGUUGCACUGAUGAGACUUAGUGUAGGAGCAGGUAUAAAUUGUUCUUGCCCUUUUUGAAGCUUAAUAUUGUCUUCUGUUUAGAGAGACAAAUCCUAGAUCCACAAAGGUAAGGGGUUUUUAACAGUACUGGCACAGCUGCAAUGAUCUGGCAAAGGGGUGCAGACAAAACCCAACAUUUUUUUGUUGUCAAGAGUCAAAAUGGAGUUACCUGGAGGAACAGAUUUUCAUAGUAUGCUGUACAUUUCCAGUGUUAAUCAGUCUUCCUACUGAAAAGCAGAAAAUGUGUGGUUUUACCUGUCAUCCAGAGUCACCUUGAAACCUCGUAAUGAAAUAUCAAUAAUUGAGAGUAGCUGUUUGCUAAAAAGAUUACUGACAGGCAUGCAAUAACAGUCACCAGUAGCUUUGAAUGUAUUUUAUAUGUCUUGGACAUUUUCCUAGCAGACUUCAGUCUUUCAUUGAGUUAGGCAGUAGGAGCCCUGGAUUUGGACAUUUUUGCACAGAUGAAUAGUAGGAUGUUUUUUGGGGUGCUGGAGGGGAGGAAGUGGAGCUUUUUUUAAAAUCAGUGUACCAUGAUGUUCCUUGGUUAGCACAAAAGCAUAAUUCCCUUCACUAGUGGAGAGGUCUGUUUCAGUUUAUUAUUUUUGCAGUAUGCUGUAUAUAAAGAGAAAGAAGACGAGGUAAUUAUUCCUGGAGAAAAUCCAGAGUUUUAAUUAAAUGGCAUUUUCACAUUCACUUCUUACUAGCUGGAGUUCAUGGCCAUACUGGCCAUACUUGCUUUCGUGUUAAGACCUUUCCAGAUGACCUUCUCUGCAAAUGCCUUUUUUUCUGCCACUAGAGGUCCUAAAAACAAUAAAGAAUGAAGACAAAACAUAACUAUUAAUUUGGGACUAGAACAUUUUCACAAGGUGGACCUGAGUGUCUGGUCUCUGAAACCCUCGGUGUGGGGGACAGCAUGUUUUAGUGUUAAUUUUAAGCAGACUGAAGGAAAGUCAUCAGAAGUGGAUUCAAAAGAUUAGAAGUCACAUUUCUCUGCCUUGGCAUGUUGUCUUUAAAUCCAGGGUACUCAAAAAUCACCAAGUUUCUCAAAUUCAUGAGGUCACUUUAUGAUCUCUAGUCUUUCAGAUAGUGCAUCACGUUCAUAGACAUCUACAUCUCCUUUUAGGCUUCUUGCCUUUUGAUUCAUGUUUUCAUGCUUUUCACUCUAACACAGUUUCGAAUUCAAAGUAAAAAUGAAGGAUUUUUGAAAACGGACAUUCUUAUGUAAGCUGUUUCUGCCAAUAGCUGUGACUUUAUUAAAAUCAACACAUCAAUAUGAACCACAUUAAAUCUGACACUUACAGAGGCCUAGGUCUGAGAAUAAAGACUUAGUUUUUUAAAAAAUUACAUCACAAACUUCAAAACUCUCUCUGUAAUUAAUUGCUACUAAACACAGCAAUAUCUGCUGGUAAACGAAGUGGCCUAACUUUGAACUCCAAUCAGAGAUUGUCAAUUGUUUAUUUUAUGUACCUGGUUCAAUUCUGCCACUGAGGUUGACAGUCAUUUCAUGAGCCAUCCUCAUUCUCAUUUUCACUGCUCCCACUUUAGGAAGCAAAUAUGUUCAGUUCUAUACAUGAAAAUGUAAAAAGAGCCUUUCCCUGUCUGUCAGGGAUGUCACUAGGAACCAGUAUUUGCAACAUAAACCUGAGGUUUCUGUUAUUGUAGUAGCCAAGCUGGGUUGUUCUGCAGUCCUCCAGUGCCAUAGAAAGAAAUGGAUGGAAGUACUUGGGAACUGAAAUUAAAUUCUCCUCCUCCCAUUUGCCUCUUUAUUCUUUCUCUCUGUUAAAAAUAAAACACUGAUUUUCUCAUUUUGCUGAGUCUGCAGUCUUUGCUAGCAUGUUAUUGUUGUAGACGUUCACAAGAGCUAGCAGUAAAAAUCUAGGAAAAUAAUUUUUCAUCAAAAUUUGCCUGCAUAUUGAAAGCAAGACAGCCCUGAGGAAAAGAUUUUUUCUUAUGAUGGGUGACAGGGAAGCAGAGCCCAGCACUUUGCCCUGCACAGCUGGUCCUGGAGACCUCUCUCAUCCCUGCCUGUGUGAGCAUCCCAGCUCUGUUCCAGAGAGCAAAGGAAAUGGUGGGUCUUGUUCCACACUGAAAUCAAAUUCAGAAACCUUGGAAACGCCUCAAAAUGGAAUCAUCACAAUCUGCCAAGCCUGAGUGUCAUGUCACGUCCAAUCUUAAAUGACACUGCCAAAACUGUAUAUGUUAUAGAAAAGAUGGACAUCUUGAAAUUAGCAAAUUAUGGUCUCAUUGUUCUUAUUUUGCUUAUCGAGUUCUUUUCUAGGGUCAAGACCUAUUUUGUUUCACCCUUUCCUCUCAUCUGAUUUAAGAGUUGUUCUUGGCGCUAGAGAAUCUUAAGAGUUCUGUCACAGGCUGCACACUGAAGGUUGUUCCAACAGCAGGAUCUGAAGCCGAAACCGCACAACUCAAAGUUAUUUCCUUAGCGUCAGCACCAGGCUCUGUUCCUGGGCUUGUGCGUGUGUGAGUCUGUGCAGACACCACAGACUGACCGCAGGUUGCUGCACUAGGAAAGGAAAUUAAUGUUUCCUUUGCUUCUGCAAGCGAAGGAAUCAACAGCAAACUGCUCUGAAGAAGUGGCUCUUGCCACCGUCCGGGAGCUUGCUGUGGCAGCGAGGGAUCGAUCAGCUGGACUGCACGGGCUC